UAAAGCGUGCGCAGGCGGUUUGUAAGACUGUCGUGAAAUCCCCGGGCUCAACCUGGGAAUGGCGAUGGUGACUGCAAGGCUAGAGUUUGGCAGAGGGGGGUAGAAUUCCACGUGUAGCAGUGAAAUGCGUAGAUAUGUGGAGGAACACCGAUGGCGAAGGCAGCCCCCUGGGUCAAAACUGACGCUCAUGCACGAAAGCGUGGGGAGCAAACAGGAUUAGAUACCCCGGU
rnacentral:rRNA from 1 species